GACGAACUGCCCAAACGUUGUUCGGAAUCACUGGGCUUAAAGGGCGCGUAGGCGGACACACAAGUCAGGGGUGAAAUCCGGCAGCUUAACUGUCGAAGUGCCUUUGAUACUGUAUGUCUUGAGAUCGGUAGGGGCGGUCGGAACGAUAGGUGGAGUGGUGAAAUGCGUUGAUAUCUAUCGGAACGCCGAAGGUGAAAGCAGGCCGCUGGGCCGAUUCUGACGCUGAGGUACGAAAGCGUGGGGAGCGAACGGG
rnacentral:rRNA from 1 species